CAUUUUGUGGGAACGUAGAGGUAGCUGGGCUGCUCUUGGAUCCCUCGCUGCUUCAGUUUCGGUGUCGCGCUUCCUAGCAGCGGCCUAGCGGAGAAGUAAGAAAAGAUGUCUGAAUAUAUUCGGGUAACAGAAGAUGAGAAUGAUGAGCCCAUUGAAAUACCAUCAGAAGAUGAUGGGACAGUGCUGCUGUCCACAGUUACAGCCCAGUUUCCAGGGGCAUGUGGACUGCGCUACAGGAAUCCAGUGACCCAGUGUAUGAGAGGUGUUCGCCUAGUAGAAGGAAUUCUGCAUGCCCCUGAUGCUGGUUGGGGAAACCUGGUAUACGUUGUCAACUAUCCCAAAGAUAACAAAAGGAAAAUGGAUGAGACAGAUGCUUCAUCGGCAGUGAAAGUGAAAAGAGCAGUCCAAAAAACAUCUGAUUUAAUAGUAUUGGGUCUCCCGUGGAAAACAACCGAACAGGACCUGAAAGAGUAUUUUAGUACCUUUGGAGAAGUUCUUAUGGUGCAGGUCAAGAAAGAUAUUAAAACUGGUCAUUCAAAAGGGUUUGGCUUUGUACGAUUUACGGAAUAUGAAACCCAGGUGAAAGUAAUGUCACAGCGACAUAUGAUAGACGGACGAUGGUGUGACUGUAAACUCCCCAAUUCUAAGCAAAGCCCGGAUGAGCCUUUGAGAAGCAGAAAGGUGUUUGUUGGGCGCUGUACAGAGGACAUGACUGCUGAUGAGCUGCAGCAGUUCUUCUGUCAGUAUGGAGAAGUGGUAGAUGUCUUCAUUCCCAAACCAUUCAGGGCUUUUGCCUUUGUUACAUUUGCAGAUGAUCAGGUUGCCCAGUCUCUUUGUGGAGAGGACUUGAUCAUUAAAGGAAUCAGCGUGCAUAUAUCCAAUGCUGAACCUAAGCACAAUAGCAAUAGGCAGUUAGAGAGAAGUGGAAGAUUUGGUGGUAAUCCAGGUGGCUUUGGGAAUCAGGGUGGGUUUGGUAACAGUAGAGGGGGUGGAGCUGGCUUGGGAAACAAUCAGGGUAGUAACAUGGGUGGAGGGAUGAACUUUGGUGCUUUUAGCAUUAAUCCAGCAAUGAUGGCAGCAGCCCAGGCAGCGCUACAGAGCAGUUGGGGUAUGAUGGGCAUGUUAGCCAGUCAGCAGAACCAGUCAGGCCCAUCAGGUAAUAACCAAAGCCAGGGCAACAUGCAGAGAGAGCCAAAUCAAGCUUUUGGGUCUGGAAAUAAUUCCUAUAGUGGUUCUAAUUCUGGUGCUGCAAUUGGUUGGGGAUCAGCAUCAAAUGCAGGGUCAGGUAGUGGUUUCAAUGGAGGCUUUGGCUCAAGCAUGGAUUCUAAAUCUUCUGGCUGGGGAAUGUAGAUAGUGGGUUAUGGUCGGUUAGUUAGAAUGGUGGGAAUUCAAAUUUUUCUAAACUCAUGGUAAGUAUAUUGUAAAAUACAUAUGUACUAAGAAUUUUCAAAAUUGGUUUGUUCAGUGUGGAGUAUAUUCAGCAGUAUUUUUGACAUUUUUCUUUAGAAAAAGAGGAAGAGCUAAAGGAAUUUUAUAAGUUUUGUUACAUAAAGGGUUGAAAUAUUGAGUGGCUGAAAGUGAAUUGCUGUUUGCCUGAUUGGUAAACCAACACACUACAAUUGAUAUCAAAAGGUUUCUCCUGUAAUGUUUUAUCCCUGGACUUGUUAAGUGAAUUCUUUGCAUGUUCAAAGUGGAAACCAUUGAUUAGAACUACAUUCUUUUCUCCUUUUUUAAUUUGAACCCCACCAUAUGGAUUUUUUCCUUAGGAAAAUCUCCUUUUGGGAGAUCAUGGUGUCACAGUGUUUGGUUCUUUUGGUUUUGUUUUUUAACACUUGUCUCCUCUCAUAUACAAAAGUACAAUAUGAAGCCUUCAUUUAAUCUCUGCAGUUCAUCUCAUUUCAAAUGUUUAUGGAAGAAGCACUUCAUUGAAAGUAGUGCUGUAAAUAUUCUGCCAUAGGAAUGCUUCUGUCUACAUGCUUUCUCAUUCAAGAAUUCGUCAUCACGCUGCACAGGCUGCGUCUUUGACGGUGGGUGUCCCAUUUUUAUCCGCUACUCUUUAUUUCAUGGAGUCGUAUCAACGCUAUGAACGCAAGGCUGUGAUUUGGAACCAGAAAGCUGUUUGAACUUUUGAAACCUUGUGUGGGAUUGAUGGUGGUGCCGAGGCAUGAAAGGCUAGUAUGAGCGAGGAAAGGAGAGAGCGCGUGCAGAGACUUGGUGGUGCAUAAUGGAUAUUUUUUAACUUGGCGAGAUGUGUCUCUCAAUCCUGUGGCUUUGGUGAGAGAGUGUGCAGAGAGCAAUGAUAGCAAAUAAUGUACGAAUGUUUUUUGCAUUCAAAGGACAUCCACAUCUGUUGGAAGACUUUAAGUGAGUUUUGUUCUUAGAUAACCCACGUUAGUUGAAUGUGUUAAGUGAAAUGAUACUUGUACUUCCCCUGCCCCUUUGUCAACUGCUGUGAAUGCUGUAUGGUGUGUGUUCUCCUCUGUUACUGAUAUGUAAGUGUGGUAAUGUGAACUGAAGCUGAUGGGUUGAGAACAUGGACUGAGCUUGUGGUGUGCUUUGCAGGAGUACUUGGAAGCAGAGUUCACCAGUGAGCUCAGGUGUCUCAAAGAAGGGUGGAAGUUCUAAUGUCUGUUAGCUACCCAUAAGAAUGCUGUUUGCUGCAGUUCUGUGUCCUGUGCUUGGAUGCUUUUUAUAAGAGUUGUCAAUGUUGGAAAUUCUUAAAUAAAACUGAUUUAAAUAAUAUGUGUCUUUGUUUUGCAGCCCUGAAUGCAAAGAAUUCAUAGCAGUUAAUUCCCCUUUUUUGACCCUUUUGAGAUGGAACUUUCAUAAAGUUUCUUGGCAGUAGUUUAUUUUGCUUCAAAUAAACUUAUUUGAAAAGUUGUCUCAAGUCAAAUGGAUUCAUCACCUGUCAUGCAUUGACACCUGAUACCCAGACUUAAUUGCUAUUUGUUCUUGCAUUGUCCAAAGUGAAAAGUUUUUCUUUUUUUCUUUUUUCUUUUUUUAAUCUAGUUUUUAAUAAGUCUGGGUGACCGCACCUAAAAUGGUAAGCAGUACCCUCCAGCUUUUUCUUAGUGCCUCUGUGCAUUUGGGUGAUGUUCUAUUUACAUGGCCUGUAAAAAUCUCCAUUGGGAAAUGCCUUCUAAAAAUAUUCUUGUUUGGGAGAGUGGGCAAAACAUUAUUUUCAAAUGCUUUGUAGCAAAGCCUAUCAAUUGAAAAGAAGGGACUAUCAGUACCUUUCUGUUUGGGAUUGAAAAGUGGAAUUAAUUGCAAUAGGGAUAAAGUAGAAGAAACCACAAAUUACCUUGUGCCUGAAAUCCAUUAAGAAGCCUGAUAGCUUUAAGAACCAGUAGGGUGGGUUGUCUGUCUGUGGAAGUGUUAAGUGAAGUGGGCUUUGCCCUCCAAGGGAGGGAAGUAUAAUAAUGUUGAAUAAACUCGCUUACAGAACUCAGAUUAGACUCUCACAAUGCAUUGUUAAGAAUGUAAAAGCAAUAAUAUAUAUUGAUUCUUUAUUGUACUUUUAUGUAAAUGCUAAUCCUGUGAGAAUUAAGGAUCUCGUUUUCUAACUGGAAGAAUGUGACAGUUUUUGUGUUGGUAGUUUACCUGAUGCCCUUACCUACUUAGAUUACCAUAAAUAGGUUUGUCAUUUUGCAAGUUGAGUGUUUUAAACAUUUAUAAAUGAAAUCAUCCUUUAGACUGUGAUUGCCACAUUGUUUUGUUAUGCAGUUUCCUCUGUAAAAGGAUCUUGAGUUGUUUUAAUAUUUUUCUGCAUCUGAAUCUGCAUGAUUUCCAAACCCUGUACCAUCUGAAUUUUGCAUUUUAGCACUUGCACUAUUACUCAGCAGCAGUAACAUGGUAACACUUAAAAUGGUAUUCGGGGACCUCCAAAGACUAAACUGACAAGCCUUCAAGGAGCCCAGGGAAUUUGGUCUAUAAGAUUUGGGGAGCUGUGUGCAGUGCACAUGCCUAGAAUCUCAGCAACUCAGGAGAUCCAAGACUAGCCUGAGCAGCUUCACCUCUGUCUCAGAAAAUAAAAAGGGCUGGGAUGUGUCUCAAUGGGAGAGUGCCCCAGGUUCCAUCCCAGUACCAUCCAGGACCCUUCAGGUCAGAAAUUAUUAUUUGUGGUCUGGUUGAUUCUUCCAAACACUGAAUCUUACUGUGUCCUUAUUGCAGAUUAAUUAUGCUCAUUAAUGUAGCAUAUGUUUCCCGUUAUGGCAGUAUACUUGUAUUAAACUCACAAACGUUGUGUCGGCCAAGUAUAGGUUUAAAAAAAACAAUUUAAGCCAAAUAACAGGGGUAAUGAAUAUAUUAUUACCUUUCAAAUUUUUUUAAAAAAAAUCAUUCUCAACUAUUAUUGUUAGAGCCAAUUCUGGUUUAAAAAAAAUUAAGCACUAUUAAAAAGCAAAUUGCAUUAAUGUUUAAAAACCUAGAUGUCAUUGAAAACAAUUGCUUAGGGAAAUAAUGAAGUUAUUAGCUUUGGGUUUUAAUAGCAUUUUUACAGAGAAGAAAAGUAACAACAGAAGAACUCGUGUUUAUAAAUGUAUAAAUGGUUCAAGAUAAUUUUAAAAAUCAUUUAAUUUUUUAUGCUUGCCUAGUUAUAAGGUCAAAAAUAAUCAAAUGACUGAUGCAGUCAGCACUGCACAACCUCUCUGUGUGGAAAGGGGAUAAUGAGAACGGAUUAUUUGGAAAUAAUAACUUGGUCUAAGAGCCAAGUGCUAAAGUUUCAUUUCUGCCUACCACAGCUAAAGCACUUCUUAUUGUCUCCCACCCAGUUCUCCUUUCCGUCAAUUAUGAAUCUUGUAUAAAUGUGUCCAUUACCAGGCUCACAGACUGGGAGUGAUUUUUCUCCUUUGGAGCUCGUCCAGAAUCCAUCAGCCUCACACACAUAUUUACCUGCAAAUCAUUGGAAAAGCAAAAAUGUUUAACUGCAUGUAUAACUUGGUUGUCAUUUGCUUGAAUACCCCCUUGAAAAAUGUUGAUUCUUGAGCAUCUGUGGGAGGUAGAGGUGUCUGACUAACCAUUUUACAUGAUUUCAUAAAUAGGAGGUCUCUGCAUUACCAUGUUUGCUUGCAAAGUGGAAACCUUUUAGAUGUGUAACUUGAAUAUGUAUCAAGAUCUCAAGUGCUUAAUGAUAACGUUUUGACUUGUUAAAUUAAACCAUUUGGAAUAUA